UAAAAAGGCGAGGAAAAGAAAACUUGAGACAGAAAAGGAUGUGACGAAUGAGGCUCUGGAUGAAGAAGUCAGACCCGAGUCAACGUCAGUGUGGCGUUUGAGUGAUGAAGACAGCUGGGGGCAUAUGAAGGACCUGAAAAGUGAUGCAGAGGUUGCUCUGUUUCUGUUGGACAGAGCAACAGUUCCCCCCCACCACCACACACACAGGAUGUUCUACAGGAAGUGACGAGCAGAGAACAGUGGAGGAAGGAUUACUGAUGAAAGAAAAUAACUAAUGUGAUAGUUAAUUGCGGGAAGGCUGCCAUCUGUGUAAGGAUCACGACGUGUUUACAAGCAGCGGUGGGAUGUAAGGAAGUCCAUUCCCUCAAGUACUGCGCUUCGGGCUGGUUUCUGAGCUCCCCUCUUGUGUUUGCUCCGAGCAGCGCUUUGAUGUCACAGUGCCGGCCCAGCCCAGCUGUCUGGACCAGCUCAGUCGGGCGCCAUCAAAUGCCAAAUUCAGGUCAGGCACACAGGCAGACAUCAAACAUACCUUUCAACUGUGAAGAAAGGAAGCAGCAAGCUACCGGCCAAGUAGCAAAGACCAUACAUCAUCGCUCGGCAGAUAAGCCCUCUCACCUGUGUAAUUCAUCACCCAGACAAAAUGAUGCAGAAACAGAUCUACCAUGUGAGCCUUCUAAAAGAGUGGAAGGAAUAACCCACCCAGGCUGUUGAGGCGUUGCUUCUUUGUCAAAGAAGAGGUAGGCCCAUAUCUGGUGGCCCAACAAAGACUACUCCUCUCCUACAACUAGUUUGAAUCUUUCAGAAAUAACUAUCAUUUUUUGCUGCCAGUCCAGGCGGACCGACAGUCACUGAAUGAAUCAUUUGUCUGAAGGAUCCAUCAGUGUCACAUCGUGUUAUGCAACCUGUAGGAUAACCUUCAUAUACUGUUCAGGGCACCCAAAGACGUGAAGUUCAGUAACAUUAAAUAUAUAAUAUGUAAGACUUAUACAAAACAUGUCUAAUAUUACUAGACCUUUGUUAUACCAUUUGUUUUGUUGUGUACUUUCAUUAUUCCAAAUCUUUAAUCUUAAACAUCAGUUCUGAAUAAGAGCAAACCCUGAAGUGACUACGGGUGUUUAUUUGGCCAAAAAGUCUGGCUCUGCACUUGGCUCUCUCCUGCAGCACUUUCUGGUUGAGAUGCUGAGCAGCAGCUCUUUCCCCCAGCUCCACCCACACAGCACUCGGAAAUGUGUUUAUUUUGAAAGACAUAUAGAAAGCAUAUAAAGAAAGAUAGAAAGCUGAUGAGGGAGCAUCAGACUUUUUAAAGCAGAAUAGGAUUUGACAUGUUACAAUGUGGUAUAUCUAUAUACAUCAUUUGGAUGGCCUUUGUAAAUUGCAACAGCUUAAUACAUGUUUUUUUAGUGCAUUUUAUUGUUAUUGUUGUUAUUGUUAAAAGUUAAAUAACUAUCAAAUUAAGUUUAGUAACUAUAAACAUAGCAUUCAUUAAUGAUGGUUGUUAUAAAGUGUUACUCAUGUGGAC